GACGAACGCUGGCGGCGUGCUUAACACAUGCAAGUCGAACGGAAAGGCCCUGCUUUUGUGGGGUGCUCGAGUGGCGAACGGGUGAGUAACACGUGAGUAACCUGCCCUUGACUUUGGGAUAACUUCAGGAAACUGGGGCUAAUACCGGAUAGGAGCUCCUGCUGCAUGGUGGGGGUUGGAAAGUUUCGGCGGUUGGGAAUGGACUCGCGGCUUAUCAGCUUGUUGGUGGGGUAGUGGCUUACCAAGGCUUUGACGGGUAGCCGGCCUGAGAGGGUGACCGGCCACAUUGGGACUGAGAUACGGCCCAGACUCCUACGGGAGGCAGCAGUGGGGAAUAUUGCACAAUGGGCGGAAGCCUGAUGCAGCAACGCCGCGUGCGGGAUGACGGCCUUCGGGUUGUAAACCGCUUUCGCCUGUGACGAAGCGUGAGUGACGGUAAUGGGUAAAGAAGCGCCGGCUAACUACGUG
rnacentral:rRNA from 1 species